CUCUCUCUCUCUCUCUGUAUUUGUUCUUUUUUCCUGGGGGAUGUGUCAUGUGGCUAGUAGCAGUAACAGCAGUAUGUUGUGAGGCAGAGCUAUGGAAAAUAAUAUGUUGUGAGGAUGUUGCUUGUUAUAAACAGGGUUAUGAGCUAUUAGGUCAGAUGGAGCCAUAUAUCAACAAGAUUACUAGUACCGAUAGCAAAUGUUGCAGCGGUGGCUACUGAUCCCAUUAUGGUAACUUUUACUAGUGAUCUUCUGUGUUGCAAUUGUACUUAUAGUUACAUUCAGGUUUUCUGAACUUGUUGGACCCAACUUGGUCCAUGGAUCUGCCACUUUUACCUUAGAAAGGAACAUUGGCGUUGUAACAAAGCUUCUUUUUACUACAAGAAGCUCAAGAGGUCGUCAAUUUAUGCUCAAGCUGGAAGGGAAGCUAGCUAGGAAGGAGCUUAGGAGGCUUAAAAUGGUCUUCGAAGUUGUGUAUGAGGUAUAGUGCGAUGGAGAUGGAGAUGGAGUCCUUGGUGAUGUUUUAAGAAGAGGUGACAUGAUUAAGUGGCCAAAUAGCAAAUGGCAAUGU